rfam:Bacillus sp. MTM 13 68, whole genome shotgun sequence.
UAUUUUAUUGGGCAAAUUUUACGAAAGUAAAAGACGCAAAGCCACGGGCCUAAAGCAGUCAUUACUUGUCAUGGCGGCCGGGUUGCCAGA